rnacentral:rRNA from 1 species
GACGAACGCUGGCGGCGUGCUUAACACAUGCAAGUCGAACGGAAAGACCCUGCUUUUGUUGGGUGCUCGAGUGGCGAACGGGCGAGUAACACGUGAGUAACCUGCCCUUGACUUUGGGAUAACUUCAGGAAACUGGGGCUAAUACCGGAUAGGAGCUCCUGCUGCAUGGUGGGGGUUGGAAAGUUUCGGCGGUUGGGGAUGGACUCGCGGCUUAUCAGCUUGUUGGUGGGGUAGUGGCUUACCAAGGCUUUGACGGGUAGCCGGCCUGAGAGGGUGACCGGCCACAUUGGGACUGAGAUACGGCCCAGACUCCUACGGGAGGCAGCAGUGGGGAAUAUUGCACAAUGGGCGGAAGCCUGAUGCAGCAACGCCGCGUGCGGGAUGACGGCCUUCGGGUUGUAAACCGCUUUCGCCUGUGACGAAGCGUGAGUGACGGUAAUGGGUAAAGAAGCACCGGCUAACUACGUG